ACUCAAAUGAAUAGACGGGGGCUCACACAAGCGGUGGAGCAUGUGGCUUAAUUCGAGGCUACGCGAAGAACCUUAUCCUAGGCUUGACAUGUUCGCAAGAGGUAGGACGUAGCGGGUCGAAAGACCUUAGCGACAGGUAUCCAAUCCUGAGCCUACCACAGGUGCUGCAUGGCUGUCGUCAGCUCGUGUCGUGAGAUGUCGGGUUAAGUCCCAUAACGAGCGAAACCCUUGCCCUUAGUUGCUACUCGCAAGAGGCACUCUAGGGGGACUGCCGGUGUUAAACCGGAGGAAGGUGGGGAUGACGUCAAGUCCUCAUGGCCUUUAUGCCUAGGGCUGCACACGUGCUACAAUGGUACAUACAAAGGGACGCAACAGCGCAAGCUUGAGCAAAUCCCAAAAAAUGUGCCCCAGUUCAGAUCGAAGGCUGCAACUCGCCUUCGUGAAGUUGGAAUCGCUAGUAAUCGCAGGUCAGCAACACUGCGGUGAAUGUGUUCCUGAGCCUUGCACACACCGCCCGU
rnacentral:rRNA from 1 species